rnacentral:rRNA from 1 species
UACGUAGGGCGCAAGCGUUGUCCGGAAUUAUUGGGCGUAAAGAGCUCGUAGGCGGUCUGUCGCGUCGGCUGUGAAAGCCCGGGGCUCAACCCCGGGUCUGCAGUCGAUACGGGCAGGCUAGAGUGCGGUAGGGGAGACUGGAAUUCCUGGUGUAGCGGUGAAAUGCGCAGAUAUCAGGAGGAACACCGGUGGCGAAGGCGGGUCUCUGGGCCGUAACUGACGCUGAGGCGCGAAAGCGUGGGGAGCGAACCGG